ACACAUUCAAUUGGCUCAGCUGAUGACUAUUGUCUCUUUGUGGAGCCUUUUGUGUCAGGCCAUGUGAUAGGCUAUGAGAUAGCCUAUGGAUGGGCUACCCUUGUUUCAGGUGCUCAUUCAUGGUCCAAUCAGAUGCCAUCUCUGAGCUGGCCGUCUGAGCGGGGUAGUUUUAAACGGAAGUUGGUUUUGUCAGCGUGCAGGCUGGUGAGUCCUGUGUGAAUGCCAGGCUUGGGAAGAGGUUGGCUGGAGGGUGAGAGUGUGUCCGGAAUUGGUGGGUUCUUCGUCUCACUGACUUCAAGAAUGAAGCUGCGGACCUUCGCGGUGAGUGUUACAGUUCUAAAGGCGGCGUGUUCGGAGUUUAUUCCUUCUGUUGUUCGGAUGUGUUCGGAGUUUCUUCCUUCUGGUGGGCUCGUGGUCUCGCUGGCUCAGGAGUGAAGCUGCAGAGCUUCGCGGUGAGUGUUACAGCUCUUAAGGUGGCGCGUCCGGAGUUGUUCGUUCCUCCCGGUGGGUUCGUGGUCUCGCUGGCUUCAGGAGUGAAGCUG